rnacentral:rRNA from 1 species
UGGGUAACCUGCCUCAAAGAGGGGAAUAGCCUCCCGAAAGGGAGAUUAAUACCGCAUAAUAUGUUUAAGUAGCAUGACUUUAACAUCAAAGGAUUUUUCUUUUAAGAAAUUCCACUUUGAGAUGGACCCGCGGCGCAUUAGCUAGUUGGUGAGGUAACGGCUCACCAAGGCAACGAUGCGUAGCCGACCUGAGAGGGUNAUCGGCCACAUUGGAACUGAGACACGGUCCAGACUCCGUAGGGAGG